CUAACACAAUUUCGCCCUCUGCUGCUUUCCUGAAAUGUGAGAUCCCACUUACUAGUUUAUCAGAGGAAAAGCUGUAUGAUGGGUCUGGAACUGAAAUUCAUGGGGAUGUGUUUGAGGAGGUGGUGACAAGGCCAGAUCUUGGUGUUUUCAAGCUCACACUGAACAAUGAUGCUAAAGAAUCUUCCCUGAUGAGUCCUGUCUCUGCCAGUUCUGUGAUGGGUGGUUCAGACCAUGAGUCAGUUGAUACAAUCAUUUUGAGCGAGGAUGGAAGCCCCUCACGAAAGCGUCAAAGAUCUGAUGACGAAGCAAAAAAUCUAAUAGAGAGCAUACUGAAGAAAAAGCCUGGUGGAGAGGUUGUCAUCAAGGAAUACUACAAAACUAAAAGCCUGACUGACUGCACCAGACGAAAGAUGAUCAAAAUUCUUGUUUCGGCGAUGACAGAGACUCAUGGGACAUCACCACCCCUCAGUGUGAGAGAAACAUUUGCACAAGGCAUCGUCUCCUUGUUCCCAUACCUGAAGGAUCCCUACACCGCAAAUGGAUAUAUUGAACAGGAUUUUGUGCUGCUGUUUGGAGAGCCAAGUUUUUGGAGAGGAUGGGACGGUGACAUUUCCUCCAUCCUUCUCCUGCUCCAUUUUACUCCUCCUUCGUCACAAGGCCGCAAAAGACCAGGCAAGAUGUCUGCAUCCCAAGCUGAACAGCAUCUUGUGAUAUUCCAAAAGGCAGGAACCAGUAUCCAGGAGCACCUUGACGCGAUGGACCAGAGCCGCCAACCAUAUCUUCUUGCAGUCGGGACCAGGAAGAGCAGCAUCCAUGCUUACUUCAUCAUCCUGGACAAGCGAGCCUUGCAAGUCAACGAGCGCUCUUGGGUGCCUUCGAUGAGUUUUUCAAGACUCACUUUGUUUUUGGUACUGCUUACAAUACAAUGCUGCGCAACAUGUACACCUUCAUACAGACAACUGUGUACAACAUAGACAUUGGGAAGGUUAAGGAGACUCCAACGGUUGCUGAGCUCAAGAGCUUUAUUAAAGAUGGAGUUUACUUUGAUUUGGA
rnacentral:lncRNA from 1 species